AAGGACUGUGCUCCCAAUCCGCUUAUGCUCAAGGAAGAACUGGAAGGCCCAGAACCAGCCUGAUGUCAGGAUCAGAACAAAAGAGGAGGACUGCAUAUGUAUGGACCCACUCCAGAUGGCACGGGGACGGGGGGGAGUAGGAAAAGUGGCAUGAGACCAGGCCCACAGAGUAUGGCUGUGCAAGUUGUUUACUGUACGAGGGCACCUGGCCGCUCUCUCAUUCCUGUUGAGGGCUCUCUGGUGGAGCCUGUCUCACAGGCCACCUGCAGGCCAACACUCCCAGAAGCAGCUAGCACCAUGGUUGACCUCGUCCAGGUCCAGGGAAGGCCUCCCUCUCCAGGACUCCUUUAGAUUUCCCCAGCAUCCAGACCUCACCUGCCAAAGUGCCGUAGCCCUGGAAGCCACACAGUGAGCACGAGCUCCAUCUUGCACCUUUACCAGCCGAUGAGGGUAAAGACAUUAGCUGAAAUACUUCUAAGGGGCCAGGCGUGGUGACUCACGCUUGUAAUUCCAAGCACUUUGGCAGGCUGAGGCAGGUGGAUCACCUGAAGCCAGGAGUUCAAGAGCAGCCUGGCCAACAUGGCAAAACCCUGUCUAUACUAAAAAUACAAAAAUUAGCCAGGCAUGGUGGCGGGAGCCUGUAAUCUCAGCUCCUAGGGAGGCUGAGCCAGGAGAAUCGCUUAAACCUGGAAGCUGGAGGUUGCAGUGAGCCAAGAUCACACCACCACACUCCAGCCUGGGUGACAGAGCAAGACUCCAU
rnacentral:antisense_RNA from 1 species